UCAGGAUGAACGCUAGCGGCAGGCUUAACACAUGCAAGUCGAGGGGCAUCGGGAGUAGCAAUACUUGCCGGCGACCGGCGCAAGGGUGCGUAACGCGUGAGCAACAUGCCCGUAUCAGGGGGGAUAAUCCAUGGAAACGUGGUCUAAUACCCCAUAGUAAUUAUGUAAGGCAUCUUAUAUAAUUUAAAGCUUUGGUGGAUACGGAUUGGCUCGCGUGACAUUAGCUAGAUGGUAAGGUAACGGCUUACCAUGGCUACGAUGUCUAGGGGGUUCUGAGAGGAAGGUCCCCCACACUGGAACUGAGACACGGUCCAGACUCCUACGGGAGGCAGCAGUGAGGAAUAUUGGACAAUGGGAUGGAAAUCUGAUCCAGCCAUGCCGCGUGCAAGGAAGACGGCCCUAUGGGUUGUAAACUGCUUUUGUAUGGGAGCAAUAAGGGCUACGUGUAGUCCGAUGAGAGUACCAUACGAAUAAGCACCGGCUAACUCCGUGCCAGCCGCCGC
rnacentral:rRNA from 1 species